AUUGUCACACAUGCUUCAGUGCUCUGAGAGUGUUUAUAGUGCUGUGAGUUUAACACUUCAUGACUGAGAGCAGAACAGAACACAAUCUUCAUCAUCACACAAGACAAAAGAACAACAAUGAACAAAAUCACCUUCUUCAUCUGGACUCUCACACUGUUUGCUCAAGAGUGUAGAGGACAGUACACUGUAACUCAGAGUCCAUCAACAAUAACAGCUCAACCAGGACAAGAAGUCAGAAUAAACUGUAAAACCAGCAGUGCAGUGCAUAGUGGUAGUUACUUACACUGGUACUUACAGAAACCUGGAGAAGCUCCUAAACUCCUUAUAUAUGUGACAUCAAAUCGUUAUACUGGAACUCCAUCUAGAUUCAGUGGCAGUGGAUCUGACAGUGAUUUCACUCUGACCAUCAGUGGAGUCCAGACUGAAGAUACAGGAGAUUAUUACUGUCAGAGUUGGCACUAUCCAAACAGUGUAUGGGUGUUCACACAGUGAUAAAGAGUGGUACAAAAACCUCGGUCAGUCAGACGUCACAGUGAUGCACUGAUACAGCUGAGAGAUACUGCAGCUGCUCAUUCAACACAAUCACACACAACACUGAUCACAGACAAACACUAAUAACACUAGAUCAUCUAAAUAAACAUAAAUCUGUUUGAAGCUCAUCAGUAUUUUUGUAUAUAACAUGAAUAUUUUGUUGAUGUGAUCAUGGCUUUUAUUCCAGUAAGGACUGUUAUUGUUUUAUUAGUGUUUCAUAGUAAGGACUGAUUGCCAAAACCAGUUUAAUAAUAUGAUUGUCAUAAUUUAAUUACAUUUUUAUAUUUUUUUAUAGGAUGAUUGUAGUGAUGUUUUCAUUUGUUGUAUGUAGAGAUUGUGGAUCUCUUCUGUUGUGUUUGUCUCUUCUCCAUCUUCACUCUCAGUGUUUUUCAUCAUCUCUCUGUUCCACAUGAUGUUCACUUGAGUUUCUCUGUAAAUUAUAUUCAAUGAUCUGAAUUCAAUCCAAACAUGUUCUCAAGCUCAACUCUUCAACAGUGAAUGUAAGCCACAUCUUCAAAUCUCACACCACUGAAUGAUUUACUGUCAGAGACUGGGUUGCUCUCCUCAAAUAUGUCUCAACAUCGUCUCAAACUUUGCUCAGAUUUGCCAAAGUCUGAAAAAGUCCAUUUAAAUUCAUACAAGGCCAAAUGAUCUGAGCUUAAGUUAACUUUAUUGUUCAUUCUGUUUGUCACGGAGCAGAAAUUUGUCUUUGACACUGGUGUCAUACAUAUACAUAAACACAUCCACAGAAGUGCUUAACAACACGACACACACUGACACACAAACACAGAAAUAAACAGAAUUACACUAUCCACAUCAUUCCUAACAUAUUUCCAAACAUCCCACAACAAUUAAAAUUCAUCUAAACAAUCAAUUAAAAAGCACUAUAUUGCCAACCGUUCUCUUGCAUUAUUUCAGAAAAUAGUGUGAUUUAUAAUAAUCACUGCCAUUGGGACAAAUAAUGUUUUAUACGCAUUACUUCUGGCCAAUGGAAUUUUGAGUCUUCACCCAGAUGUGAGCAUUUCAAAACCAGAGUGAAGGGGGUGAGUACGGUCUUUAAAAAUCACAAUUGACAUUUUUUUUUUUUUUUCAUAAAAUGAUCAAACAAGUCCUAGAGUGAGUGUUUAUGUCCAGUGAUCUUAUUUGCCUGAUUGGAAACACUUUAUAAUACUGAUCCUUCAUUAAUGAAUAACUACACAGGAACAAAUGAGUAAUGCAUUAUUAACACUCUAGUAACUAGUAAUAUUAACUAUUAACCUCAAAAGUUUACAAUGACUCCAGUAGUUACUAGAGAGUUAUCAUGUUUCUCACUUCAGAAUACUGAUCCAAAUAAUUAGUAAUUCCUUCUGAAGGAUUUGGUAAUACUUCAGUCAUUACUAGUGGGAUACCAUGACCUUCACUUUAGAAUUAAUUAUACAUUAUGCAUCAUUCAUGUUAAUUAUGAACCUGUAUAUAGUAGUUCUUAGUAGUUCUCUGGGAGGAAUGAAAAAACAGUAGUUACUGAUUAGCUAAUAGUGAACUACCAGCUUCAACUGAGCACUGUUACUUACAUAAUUUACAGUAAUUCAGCGAUGUUCUUGUAAGCUGAAAAGUCAUCUUCUCCUCUGUCAUUUUGAAAGCUCUGCGUAAGAAACUUUGGGUGCUUCUCAAUCAGAAGACUGUGUCGUUCAUAGUCCAGUCCUUCUGAGGCUUGUAGACUAGUACUCUCAGCAUUAAAAGGCUGCAAAUCUCGGCUGCAACGUCAUCAAGCGCUGCUGAAGGCCAUCUCAAUCUGAAGGACCUGGAAGGCAGCCUUUGUUUCGCGCCCUUCAUUCUGCCUGUUCUGAAGGAUGGAUCAGACGUAUCCUUCGCUGCCUUCAAUUACCCACAAUCCUCUCUGCACGCAUUUCAGAAAACAUGGCGGGAAGUGAGUCGACAUCAAGCACGCCCGAAUUCAUUAUGAAAUUAGUCAUGAUCCAUG